rnacentral:rRNA from 1 species
AUGAGUUGGGAGGAGACGUCGUCGAGCUCCAAGGCGGCUGCUCCGCCGGCCAUCCGCCUCGUCAGCUUCGUCUCCGAGGAGCAGCUCGACGAGGCGAAGCGGUCGAGAGGGGAGCGGGUGGAAGACGGCACCGCCCAGCGCGACAAGCCCCUCUUCCAGAUCCUGCAGGAGAACAAGGAUAAGAAGGAUGCCGAGUUCAAUGAGCGCUUCAAGCACAGACCCCCAAAGGCUUUGGAUGAGGACGAGACAGAGUUUCUUGACAAAUUGGCUUUGUCAAGGAGAGAAUAUGACCAGCAGGUGGCCAAUGAAGAAGCUGAACAACUCCGUAGUUUCCACGAGGCCGUAGCUGCCCAGUCCACUAUUGCUCAUGAACUUGGUGAGAUGCCUACAGUCUCUAUGCCUGAGGAAAGCAAGCCUAAGCCACCUCCGAAGAGGAGCCAGCCUGAGUUCCUGAGAAAUAUUACAGUUUCCGUGAAGCCACGAGCCAAGAAGGCAAAAUCUGACUUGGAAUGUAAGCCCGCUCCCAAGGAGUUGGUGCCUUCGAAUGGGCAUGAUACAAACCGUGAGCCACAAGGUGACACCAAGAGCAGCGUGCUUGGCUCUCUGGCUGCAUACGGCGACGAGGACGAUGAAAGUGGCGAUGAACAAUGA